UAUUCACAGGCAUCCUCAGCCCAUUGGCCACAGCGACGGAGGAGACGCCCCCCGGCCCUUCGGCCACGCCCCUCCCUCUGGAUGCUCUCAGAGCCCAGCGCGAAAAGUCGCACGAAGUCGGGCAGCGGGUUAGGGGGGACUGUGGGGCCGGGCCAGUGAAAGCCCGGCCCGGCCCAGCCCGGCCAGUCUUCUGCCUUGAUCAGUGCCCCAGGCCAGCUCCCAGGGCGGCUGAAGCCGUGGGGGGAGCCGGGAGGAAUGUUGUUGUGGGGUUCUGGGCUCUGUGUGGGUCCCGGGGGGGGAACCGGAGCGUGCAUUACAGAAAGGGGCCCUGCACGGCCCAUGCAGUGAGUGACUGUCUGGAGUCCCCACUUCACUUGGGGGCCAUGUGCCUGCCUUGGACUCCUCCCCACGCUGAAAACUGCCUGAAUAUAGACCCGGGGCCUGAGUCCUGGGCGUGUGCAGCAGGCUCGGCAGAUGGUGGCCCAGGAUAGCAUGGCCUGGUACUGCUGGCAGGCGGGAACAAAACACCCUCAGCAACGCACCUGCCAGCCCAGGGAUGGGGGACAAACUUCAGCGUGUCUGUGAAGCCAGGAGCAGGUGACACUGACCCCUGAAGAGACCGUCAGCCAAUACGGACCAGCCAGCUUGUGAGGACUGGCCCAGUCAAGGCCCCGCUGGGAAGGCCCAGCCUCCAGCAUCCUCCUUUCUUGAUCUGAGUUAGGCUGGCCUCACUCCAGCCAAUACCAGGAAUGGCUUUUUGACUGUUGAGUUUGUCUAGAAGCGAUAAGGUUAUCUCGCCAGCCCUGCCCGCUCGGGGCUUUCCAUUGCUCCUACCUUUCGAAGAACUUGGGCUUCAGCCCUCUGCUCAUCAGGAGCCAGAAGACUGUUUAAACAGGAAUAAUAAUGCUACCCACAAAGGAAAACUGAAAGCAGCAGGCUGUGUGUGCGAGCAGGCGGGCGGUGCCAGGCGGCACUGACGGACAGGAGGUUACGCCAGCCGUGCUGGGGUUUGGUGGCUCAGGGAGACCCAUGGAAACCAGGGGGCUGCUGGGAGAAGCAGGGAGGAGUGGACAUUCUCUGCUGCAACAGCUACAGGGUUAGGAGUGGAGGUUCGAUUCUGAUUGGCACUCACCUCCUUUGGAAAUGACCUUCCGUGAUGAAACAGUUUGUGGCGUGAGCUCAUCAGGACGGCAUCUGAAGGGACUUUGGAGAGAGGACCUCAGAGUGCUCCAUCUAUCUAACAGCUUCACCUGAUCAUCCAUAUAAACCAUGUGCAUCGGCUUGCUAAUGAGCACCUUUCUUGGCAGGGGAUGACUGAGGGGCUUCAGUUUUACUCUGGUUCACAUUCUGAACUCAUCCCCUCACACACACUCUGGAUUUACAUGGGGUGAGUGAAAGCAGGAUCUGGCCUAUUGGGUACAAAGAAGUCAGGAAGCAGGUGUAAACAGCAAACCCAAUUAGCAGUCACAGGGGAAGGGUGGUUUGCCACCACCCUGUCCUUCCCAGCUGGGCAGAGUGAGCACAAAAGGCCAGCACAGGAGCGUGGCGGCCUGGGACGCCCGCGUUGCACUGGUGCAGGGUGCAGGGCAGUGGCAAAUCGGGCUUUGGGUGUGUAAAGCCAACACUGUCUACACCACAUUCAGCCUGGUGGAAACACCCAGAGACCUGUGGGCAUGUCCUCUCAUGCCAAGGCUGGAUUUGGCCUUGCUGGGGGAGGGGGCAGCACACACUUACUCCAGGCAGCUACUGGCUGGACUCAGCCCAUUUUGUCCACACACCUUGGGCCAGAGUCAUCCCAGGUCCAGUUCUAGGGAAGCCCUUUGCCUUGCUGCUGCUCUCAUGCACUCCCAUGGGAGUGACGCCUCUGGAGCCCACGGAGUCACUCCAGCAUCACUCGGGAUUUACAGCAGCCUGAGUGAGAGCGGGACUGGGCUCCGCAGUGUCACAUGGAGAAUGAAUUUGGUCCUAAUUAUUUCCUAAAGCAGCCUCAAGAGCCAGCGUAGUUUUUCAGCGAAACCGUCAGAGGCUCAUUCACCUGCAUAUCUACCAAUGUGAUAUGUGCCAUCAUGUGCCA